rnacentral:rRNA from 1 species
CGCCUUGCCAGCCCGCUCAGAACUUAAGGAAUUGACGGGGCCGCACAAGCGGAGGAACAUGUGGUUAAUUCGAUGAUACGCGAGGAACCUUACCUGGGCUAAAACGCAUUCGGAAUCAGGCCGAAGGCUGCGCCAGCGAUGGCCGCUUGCGAGGUGCUGCAUGGUUGUCGUCAGCUCGUGCCGUGAGGUGUCGGGUUAAGUCCCAUAACGAGCGCAACCCCUACUGCUAGUUGCCAGCGGGUCAUGCCGGGGACUCUAGCGGAACUGCCAGCGUAAGCUGCGAGGAAGGUGGGGAUGACGUCAAAUCAGCACGGCCCUUACGUCCAGGGCUACACACGUGCUACAAUGGUCGGUACAAAGGGUUGCCAAGCCGCGAGGUGGAGCUAAUCCCAUAAAACCGAUCGUAGUCCGGAUCGCAGUCUGCAACUCGACUGCGUGAAGUCGGAAUCGCUAGUAAUCGUGAAUCAGAAUGUCACGGUGAAUACGUUCCCGGGCCUU